UUGUUACAAAUCAUCUAUCUUCUUGUUUGCUUAGAUUAGGAAGGUUUGUGUAUUCUUGGUGUUAUAAGUCUCUAGUUCUCUGUGGAUUCGAUCCUAAAAUGCUACAAUGACAUACCAUUCGAUUGUGGUAUUGUUGGCACAUUAGGUUAAUUGGUGUGUGCUUAAACGCGUAAUCAAUUAACUAUAUAUCUGGUUGUUUUUGAUGUUACAGGGUUAGGAUCAGUGUCGAGGGAUAUGACCUUUCCCUUCGAGCCGUUGAUCUCGACAUUUCCUUGGUGAACCACUUCAGCUCUUGUGGAAACGUGGAGUUCGUGAAGGUGCCGAGAGACCCGGUGACCAAUGCUAUUAACGGCACAAGUACUACUGUGGUUCUCGGCGGGAAAGGUGCAGCAGAGAAGGCCUUGGCCCUCAACGGAAGUGACGUGGGAGGAUGGAGAGCGUCCGUCAAGAUCUUACCACCAGCGCUAAGUAGUCUGAGAUCUGGGUUGACUACUCGUGAAGCGGCACGUCAAUACGUCGCCCACUUCAAAAGAUACAAGAGCCGAGGCAUUACUGUUAAAGGAUAUGAUUAUUUGCUCUGUGAGGCUGAUGUCAAGAGGGCUUUGGUUAACUAUUUCUCUUCCUGUGGAGAGAUCACCGAUGUUUUUGUUUUCAAAAGACGUGCUUUGGUCUACUUUUUCGAAUAUGAAGCAGUGGAAAAUGCUUUGAAGGUUUGUCGACCAAGUCAAAGACGUGUCACGGGGACGUGUUUCCGUGCUAGAGCUAUGCCGAUACCGAAACGGUUGAUUGUUCAUGGCCCUGACUCCUGCCUUGCUACUCCUACUUAUUGAAGAUCGUCUUUUGUUUUAGACAUUAUAAUCUGUGUAUGGCUGGAUGACUCGGGUUUUAUUUUGUUAAUUUAGAUGGUUGUUUUAGUCUUCAGCACUUAAAAAGGAUAUUAUGAAACUUCUAAUUAUUUAAAAAAGUAUUUAGUAA